CUACGGGAGGCAGCAGUGGGGAAUCUUGGACAAUGGGCGAAAGCCUGAUCCAGCGACGCCGCGUGGGGGACGAAGCCCUUCGGGGUGUAAACCCCUGUUGCGAGGGAGGAAUAAGACCUGGAGGAAAUGCCAGGUCGAUGACUGUACCUCGCGAGAAAGCCCCGGCUAACUACGUGCCAGCAGCCGCGGUAAUACGUAGGGGGCGAGCGUUACCCGGAUUCACUGGGCGUAAAGGGGGUGUAGGCGGCUCGGCAAGUCGGGUGUGAAAUCCCACGGCUCAACCGUGGAAUUGCGCCCGAAACUGCCGAGCUUGGGGCCGGUAGAGGGAGACGGAACUGCCGGUGUAGGGGUGAAAUCUGUAGAUAUCGGCAGGAACGCCGGUGGGGAAGCCGGUCUCCUGGGCCGCGCCCGACGCUGAGGCCCGAAAGCUAGGGGAGCAAACCGGAUUAGAUACCCGGGUAGUCCUAGCCGUAAACGAUGCCCACUAGGUGUGGGGGAGUCAUUCCUCCGUGCUGUAGCUAACGCGUUAAGUGGGCCGCCUGGGGAGUACGCCCGCAAGGGUGAAACUCAAAGGAAUUGGCGGGACCCCGCACAAGCGAUGGAGCGCGUGGUUUAAUUGGAUGCUGAGCCAAGAACCUUACCAGGGCUUGACAUGCAGGUGGUACCGACCCGAAAGGGGAGGGACCCCAUCCUUUUGGGUGGGGAGCCUGCACAGGUGGUGCACGGCCGUCGUCAGCUCGUGCCGUGAGGUGUUGGGUUAAGUCCCGCAACGAGCGCAACCCCUGCCCUUAGUUGCCAUCGGUUCGGCCGGGCACUCUAAGGGGACUGCCGGCGACGAGCCGGAGGAAGGAGGGGACGACGUCAGGUACUCGUGCCCCUUAUGCCCUGGGCUACACACGCGCUACAAUGGGUGGUACAGUGGGUUGCGACCCCGCGAGGGGGAGCCAAUCCCUAAAACCACCCCCAGUUCGGAUCGCAGGCUGCAACCCGCCUGCGUGAAGCCGGAAUCGCUAGUAACCGCAGAUCAGCCACGCUGCGGUGAAUACGUUCUCGGGCCUUGUACACACCGCCCGU
rnacentral:rRNA from 1 species